UACGAAGGGGGCUAGCGUUGCUCGGAAUCACUGGGCGUAAAGGGUGCGUAGGCGGGCCUUUAAGUCAGGGGUGAAAUCCUGGAGCUCAACUCCAGAACUGCCUUUGAUACUGAAGAUCUUGAGUUCGGGAGAGGUGAGUGGAACUGCGAGUGUAGAGGUGAAAUUCGUAGAUAUUCGCAAGAACACCAGUGGCGAAGGCGGCUCACUGGCCCGAUACUGACGCUGAUGCACGAAAGCGUGGGGAGCAAACAGG
rnacentral:rRNA from 1 species